rnacentral:misc_RNA from 1 species
GAUGAAGAACGCAGCGAAAUGCGAUAAGUAAUGCGAAUUGCAGAAUUCAGUGAAUCAUCGAAUCUUUGAACGCACAUUGCGCCCGCCAGUAUUCUGGCGGGCAUGCCUGUCUGAGCGUCGUUUCGACCCUCGCGCCCGGCUUCUGUCGGGGGCGGUGUUGGGGAUCGGCCACACCCUUCAGUGGGAGGCCGGCCCCUAAAUUCAGUGGCGACCACGCUGUAGCCUCCCCUGCGUAGUACUAAAACCACCUCGCAGGCGGAGAGCGGUGCGGCCCGCCGUAAAACCCCCCAACUUUUACAAGGUCGGCCUCAGAUCAGGUAGGAAUACCCGCUGAACUUAAGCAUAUCAAUAAGCGGAGGA